GUCCCAUUAGCUCAGUUGGUAGAGCACUUGACUUUUAAUCAAGGUGUCGAAGGUUCGACCCCUUCAUGGGAUACCA
rnacentral:tRNA from 1 species